rnacentral:rRNA from 1 species
UACGAAGGGGGCUAGCGUUGCUCGGAAUGACUGGGCGUAAAGGGCGCGUAGGCGGUUCAUACAGUCAGAUGUGAAAUUCCCGGGCUUAACCUGGGGGCUGCAUUUGAUACGUGUGGGCUUAAGUGAGGAAGAGGGUUGUGGAAUUCCCAGUGUAGAGGUGAAAUUCGUAGAUAUUGGGAGGAACACCGGUGGCGAAGGCGGCAACCUGGUCCUUGACUGACGCUGAGGCGCGAAAGCGUGGGGAGCAAACAGG